ACUGGCAACACUGCAGCGAGGUAGACACGUGACUCAAGCACUCAAGCACAUUGCGGUUACUGUAACUGUCGUAUUCCGUUUUGAGACAGCAUUCGAUUUAAUUGUUUUAUUUGUUUUUUUAACGUAUUGAAAAAAGACCACGUUUAUCGGCAACACUGCCGCAAUGGAUCAAGAUCAAAAUCCAAGAUGCCCGUUAACUGAGAGCCAAAGUUAUCAAUACAAUAUGGUCAGAUAUUGCAGUGCAUUUGGAUGCAAUAACAUGUGGAAGCCUGACAGUAUACUGUCAUGGCACAAGUUUCCCAAGGAUAAGGAAAUGCGUAGGAAGUGGGUCAAUAAAAUGAAAAGGGAAAAUUUUGAGCCAACAGAAGCAAGUGUACUCUGUUCUGAUCAUUUUACAAAGGACUGUUUCUAUACAAGAGGCCAAGAAAAUAGCAAAAUUAGGCUAAGAAGUGGUUCUAUUCCUACUAUCUUCAGUUUUUCUGACAGCAUUCAGCCUGAUAACAUAAACAAGGAACAUAGAGAGAUCCAGUAUAUAAAUAAAGUAAAUAUAAAUGAAAAGUUAGAUGACAGGGUGAAUGUAAAUGAAACACUAGAAAACAGUAAUGUACUGAUUAAUAAUGAAUCUGGAUAUGAAAAUUCAAUUCAGAAGAGAGAUGAGUUACAAAUUCAGAAAAUUUGUAAUUUAUCUCUCAUUGAGCAUGAUUAUGCAAUUAAGAUUAGUCCUCGUAAAAUGAAAAGAAAACUGGAUGCUGCAAACGACAGAUGUGAUCAUUAUAAAAGACAGCUGAAAAAAUGUAAAGCACGGUUAGCAGCUGCCAAAGAUGAGAUCAGAACACUCUCAGAAAUAUUAGAAAUUGUAAAAGAUAACUUUUUACUUACAGCUGAUGAAUAAAACAGUUGAGAAAUCUUAUUUUUUUCGGUUUAUUAAAAAAUUCCUGUGAAGUGCCUUCAUUUCAUAAUUCAUCUGUUUUGACGAAGUUGAGACAAGGAAGCCACCAAAUUUAAAUAUGAUUGGUUGUUGCAUGUGAUAAUCUGUAUCAUCUUCAUAGUAGUACUCUACAGUACAUGUGAACGAGUAUGAGUAGGGAUGAGAGCUGUCAAACAAUAGAGUUGUUUUUUUUUUAUAAACAGGGUUUGAUGCAAAAUAAACUGUAAACUAUGAAAUUCUUAUUUUAAUUAAGAUACACUAAUACAUUGCAGUAUUAUUU